rnacentral:rRNA from 1 species
GGAAUCUUGGGCAAUGGGCGAAAGCCUGACCCGGCAACACCGUGUGGGUGACGAAGGCCUUAGGGUCGUAAAGCCCUGUUGAUAGGGACGACGGGCGAAGGGUUAAUAGCCCCUAGCUUGACGGUACCUUUCGAGGAAGCACCGGCUAACUACGUGCCAGCAGCCGCGGUAAUACGUAGGGGGCGAGCGUUGUCCGGAAUUAUUGGGCGUAAAGAGCGUGUAGGCGGUUCGGUAAGUCUGCUGUGAAAUCCUGGGGCUCAACCCCGGGCGUGCAGCGGAUACUGCCGGGCUAGAGGGUGGUAGAGGCGAGUGGAAUUCCGAGUGUAGCGGUGAAAUGCGCAGAUAUUCGGAGGAACACCAGUAGCGAAGGCGGCUCGCUGGGCCACACCUGACGCUGAGACGCGAAAGCGUGGGGAGCGAAC